GUCAAAAUACAAUUCGGUUCCCUCUGAGCCGUCCUCCCCUUCAAUUUUCCAUACCCAGGCACGCUCAUCCGGACGAAAGACACAUGGAUCGAAAAGCAUAUCUUUCGGAAUGAAAAUAUCGUCAAAAAAGCUAAUAGUUACUGGGAGAAAAACAUUAACAACAAGCAUUUAAACAAACACAUUUAACAUACCCCGAAUACCUUCUUCACUGCACGAUUUUAUUUUUCCCAGCAUUACUUCACCUCGAAAAGGACGAAAGAUUAUAAGGCGGAAAACCACUAAUCUAAUUAGAACCAUUUAAGUUUUUCUUUUCCACUGAAUCACUAUCCUGACAGCCUUUCGUAUUGAUAAUGC